UACAGAGGGGGCAAGCGUUGUUCGGAAUUACUGGGCGUAAAGGGCGCGUAGGCGGCCUGCUAAGUCGAACGUGAAAUCCCCGGGCUCAACCCGGGAACUGCGUCCGAUACUGGCAGGCUUGAAUCCGGGAGAGGGAUGUGGAAUUCCAGGUGUAGCGGUGAAAUGCGUAGAUAUCGGGAGGAACACCAGUGGCGAAGGCGGGUCUCUGGGCCACUACUGACGCUGAGGAGCGAAAGCGUGGGGAGCGAACAGG
rnacentral:rRNA from 1 species